rnacentral:rRNA from 1 species
GACGAACGCUGGCGGCGUGCCUAAUACAUGCAAGUUGAGCGCUUAAGGUUGGUACUUGUACCGACUGGAUGAGCAGCGAACGGGUGAGUAACGCGUGGGGAAUCUGCCUUUGAGCGGGGGACAACAUUUGGAAACGAAUGCUAAUACCGCAUAAAAACUUUAAACACAAGUUUUAAGUUUGAAAGAUGCAAUUGCAUCACUCAAAGAUGAUCCCGCGUUGUAUUAGCUAGUUGGUGAGGUAAAGGCUCACCCAGGGGAAGAUACAUAGCCGACCUGAGCGGGUGAUCGGCCACAUUGGGACUGAGACACGGCCCAAACUCCUACGGGAGGCAGCAGUAGGGAAUCAUCGGAAAUGGACGAAAGUCUGAACGAGGAACGCCGCGGGAGGGAAGAAGGGUUUCGGAUCGUAAAACUCUGUUGGUAGAGAAGAACGUUGGUGAGAGUGGAAAGCUCAUCAAGUGACGGUAACUACACAGAAAGGGACGGCUAACUACGUG